UGCCCGAGCCCGCGCCGCAAGCAGCGCCAGCACCGGCCGUGCCGUCCGCGCCGCCCGCGCCCCCCCCGCCAGAAGCGGGAGCCGCAGCUCCGAGCCGAGAAACGGCGCGGCCGGCGGCGAAACCGGGAACAGCGCUGCCGCGGGAAAACCUGGAAGCGGCGGCGGCUGCUGAGCGGCGGGCAGAGGUGGCGGCGCCGGGAGCGUCCGCAGAGAACGAGCCGGCAGCGGCGCCGGGCGCGUCCGCGGAGCACCGGCCAGAGACGGCGGCGCCGAGUGCGGCCGGGAAGCGCAAAACAGCAGCGGAAGCAGCAACUGCGCCGACCGUGCCGAACGUGGCUGCUGUGCGGGAGACGAACGUGGUGCCGGCCGCGGCACCGAGUGCAGCCGUAGCCUCAGAGUCGGCUGCAGCUUCAGUACCGGCUCGGUCGGAUCUGGCCGAGUCGGCCUCCCGUAAAGAAACUGCUGUACAAACUGCCGCGCAGCCAGCUGCAGUCUGUGCUGUCUGUUCUGGCUCUGGCGAACUUAGCCAAAGUGCCUCACCUCCCCGUACAUUUCUGUUCCCUCCCAGCACCCCAAAGUUGCCUUUGCCUGAUGAUUCCUCGUCAGGCAGUGAGGCAGAUGAGGUUCUGGCCCCAGGUCGUCAGGCGGCUGUAGCUGCGUGGCAAAGGAAAAGGCUGUGCCGGUCUAGCCCCUGGACCUUUCCGGACUGCACGGUAACAUCUUGUGUCCCCAGGAUAGAGCAACAAACUCACGAAGAUAACGGCAGUGGAUCUACGGGACUUCCGCAGGCCUUCUGGACUGCAGACAUCUCUGACCAAAGGCCACAGAUGACAUGUACCCUGAUCCUGCCGAACGCCCGUCUGCCCCGGAUUCAGCUUCGAGGUUUGAUUGAUACGGGUGCUGAUGUAACUAUCAUCUCCUUCUCUGCAUGGCCUCCCUCAUGGCCUUUAGCCCCGGUGGGAUCGGCCAUCGCAGGAUUAGGAGGAUCCACACAGAGCUAUCUAAGCGAACGGCCUGUGGUGGUGAAGGACUCAGAGGGGCACACAGCUACAAUCAGGCCUUAUGUUGCUACCACUUCCCUUAACCUUUGGGGGUGGGAUGUGUUGGCAGCUUGGGGUGUACGGAUUGGGACAAAUUUUUAGCAGAGGUCACUGUGUGUAAGGGCGCACAGCAUCCUACACUGCCUUUGCGGUGGUUGACUGACACACCAGUCUUUGAGCCGCAGUGGCCCCUACCAAAAGAGAAGUUAGACGCCCUUCAUCAGCUGGUUCAGGAACAGUUGCAACAGGGGCACCUUGAACCUUCUACUAGCCCUUGGAACACUCCUGUUUUCGUAAUUAAGAAGAAAUCAGGGAAAUGGAGGUUAUUGCAGGACC
rnacentral:lncRNA from 13 species